AAAUAAACAUGGUAAAGAUGGUCAGAGAAGGAAAAUUUGAUCCAGUGGUUCAAGCUUAAAUCAGUUACACCAGUUAUGAUUAAUAUCUCAAGUCUUGCUGUAUUUUGGUUCAAUUGAUCGAGUUUUUUUCGGCUGCUCUUUAAUCUCUACUCAUCUUUACUCCGAACUUCGUCAACUUAGUUGAUUACAGUUAUCACUGCAGAACGGUUAUACUUAAAACGUUUCGUUUGGACUCAAUCAAACACUAACAAUGUGUAUGUUUACUUCUGCGUAUAAAAAUAUAACCGUUUGUCUCUUUACCCGUUGAUGAUGAACCAGUUUCAGACCGAUUCCCCUAAAUUUGGAUGGCAACUUUUUCCUGGCAACAUUAGAAGAAAAUUUGGGUUUUUUCAAAAAACUUGCAUCAAUAACUUAAACUGAUGGACUUACAAGGAUCAUUGACAACUGGACCAAAAAAGGCUGGUUGAAUAUCUUGGCUACUUGGAGUUAUACAGCAAGUAUAAAGUGGACCACAGGAAGAUCCCAAUGAACCUCCUGACAUCCAACAUGAAAGGAAAAA